rnacentral:rRNA from 1 species
GACGAACGCUGGCGGCGUGCUUAACACAUGCAAGUGGUGCGACGAACCAGGGCUUGCCCUGGGGCCAAGCCGCGAACGGGUGAGUAACACGUGAGUAACCUGCCCCGAUGACCGGGACAACCCGAGGAAACUCGGGCUAAUACCGGAUGUGGCGCACAGGUCUAAGCCUGUUCGCUAAAGGAAGCUUCGGCCUCCGCAUUGGGAGGGGCUCGCGGCCCAUUAGCUUGUUGGUGGGGUAACGGCCUACCAAGGCAACGAUGGGUAGCUGGUCUGAGAGGACGAUCAGCCACACUGGGACUGAGACACGGCCCAGACUCCUACGGGAGGCAGCAGUGGGGAAUCUUGCGCAAUGCGCGAAAGCGUGACGUAGCAACGCCGCGUGGGGAAGAC